UACGUAGGGCGCAAGCGUUGUCCGGAUUUAUUGGGCGUAAAGAGCUCGUAGGCGGUCCGUCACGUCGGCUGUGAAAACCCGAGGCUCAACCUCGGGCCUGCAGUCGAUACGGGCAGACUAGAGUGCGGUAGGGGAGACUGGAAUUCCUGGUGUAGCGGUGAAAUGCGCAGAUAUCAGGAGGAACACCGGUGGCGAAGGCGGCUUGCUGGGCCUUACCUGACGCUGAGGAGCGAAAGCGUGGGGAGCGAACAGG
rnacentral:rRNA from 1 species